GAGAGAAUCAAGAAUCUGCAACCCGCGGACCCAGAACUCCAAAGGGUGCGGCGCGACAUCGAGAAGGGUCGUGUAAUAUACCAGAUUUUGGUAAAAAAAAUAAAAAUAAAUAAAAAAUAGUGUGGGAUACUAUUUUUAUUAGAUUUAGAGAAGUAAAACAUAAGUCAGAAUUGAUUUGUGCUGAGAUCGGAAUGAAAACAGAAGAUUUAGAAUUUUCUGUUGGAAACGAGACAGAUAAAUUAGCAAAAAAUGCACAGUCUCAGAAAAUUAUGAAAAUCGGAGGAUAAGUCAGAAAUAUUUUUAUGAGAUUAGAUUUAAAGUUUCAUAUUUUUCUGACACCCGAAAGUUGAGAAAUAAAAUCCGAAAGUUAUCUGAUAAAGUUUACAGUUCGGUAUAGUUUUCGGUGACCAAACAGGGUCGAAACUGAAAACUUUAAGUAUAUUCUUGUUCAGUACGUUAAACCGAAUAUGACUGUCAAAUUUGAGCUCAAACGGAUACUCUGAGAGUUCCGGCGAAAGAUAUCAGAUUUUAAGUUACCUGGAGUGAAUAGUGUCGGGGUGUAAUUAAUUAAAGAAGCUAAUUAGCUUCUUCUCCUCCAUCAGCCGACCACCAUGGCCGACACACCCACACACACGCACGCAUGGAUGGGGAAGAGAAACUCCCCUUUCUCUCUCUAAAUAUCUCUCUCAUCUCUCUAUAUCUCUCUUUAAAAAUUGGAGGGUUGGUAGAGAUCGAGUCUGCGAACGCGUUGGAGGCGACGGAUCGAGCUUUCGUACGCCCGUUGGAGCGGCGUGUUUUCGUUGCGGCGUUCACAUUGGGGUAAGCUUUUGGGAUUUGGUUUAAUCCUUAGCUUUAAGUGCACUAAUCGCCUCUAAUGAGCAUUGAUAGUAUGUUGUUCCAUUUAAUUGGGAUUAUUUGGAGGUUAAUUCAUGUUAGGGCUCAAAAAUGCUAAUUUUGAAAAUAUGAGGGUUUGAUCUAAUUUGACCCUCCGUAAACCAAAUUGCUAGGUAAACGAACGCGUUGGCGAAGACGGUUCGGCAAUCCGACUAGCCGUUACAAAGUUGUUAAAGAAAUGGACGUUUAGGCUUCGUUACCGCCUGGAGGGCCGAGGCGACGUCGUAAAAUCAUGGAAAUGGAUUUGAAGCACCGUGGCACAUAACCGAAGACCUUUAAUUUUCGGAUCGUGGAUCGGAGGCCGUUCGGGUGGUCGCGCAAAAGAUCGGGCCAAACCGGGUUACGGGUGCCGCGGGAGGCCGAUUGCAAGUGUCGACAAGCAAUCGGAAAGCGUUUUGAGGUGGGUUGUGCUCACCGAAGCGAUUAGGUCGCUUUCCAUGCUAAAGUGUAGUAUGUUUACUAUUGAUGCAUGAUAAAGUAUGCUAUUUAAGAAUGCAUGAUAAAGAUUAAAGUAUGCUAUUUAAGAAUGCAUGAUAAAGAUUAAAGUAUGCUAUUUAAGAAUGCAUGAUAAAGAUAGAUGUCAAGUGAAUGCAUGAGUUGAUGUUAAUUUACAUGAGUAUAUUAUAGAAAUGCUAAACAGAUGUCAAACGUAAGUAUGAGAUUUAUACUAACCGAGAAUGCAUGUGGUAAAUGUUAAUGAAUGCAUAAAAUGCUAAGUGAUGACUACCAAUGGAUGACAAAAUAUCCGCAUAAUGAACAUAGAUCGAGUGGCAUUUGGAAAUGGUAAAGUGGACACUAGAGUUAGUGUGGGACAUCAAAGAAUAAAUGUGGUGUAAAGAACAAUGAUAAUGGCUAGAGGCAAUGUAAAGUAAUGUGGCAUAAAGAAUAAGCAAAGUGUAAAGAAUAAUGAUAAUGGCUAGAGACAAUGUAAAGUAAUGUGGCAUAAAGAACAAGCAAAGUGUAAAGAACAAUGAUAAUGGCUAAAGUUAGCAACCAAUGUGACAUAAAGAACACUAGAGUUAGUGUGUGGCAAUAAAAGAACAAGUGUGGUAUCAAGAAUGAUAAUUACUAAAGUAAUUGAUAAUUGUGGUAUAAAGAAUAAUGAUUGCUAGAGUUAGCAACUAAUGUGAUGUAAAGAACACUAGAGUUAGUGUAAAACCAUGAUCCAACUACAUAUCCUUAGAGUUAAGGAUUGAUCAUACUUGCUAUGAGUUCCGUGCUCGAGGGCGGUCGCUCCCGUCGAGCGAUGCGCUCCGGAGUUUUGCAUCACGGGUUGGAGUAAACCCAAGGACGGUUCUUGCGGGUGAGUUCCUGCGAUGAUGGACUUAAUGUGAAGCAAGUUAAUGUGCCGAAACCUACGGGUUAGCCAAAAAGAAUCAUGAAUUGGAAAGUGAAUCUUGUAUAAAUUAUGAAUUGACUCAAAAUCGAGUCGAAUGGCAUAGUUGGCUAAGGUAAAUGUAACCUUAGGAAAGAGUGAUAAUUGAGAAAGACUUGUUAAUAUUAUAAAGAAUGGCAAAUGUGUAUGAUGAGCCUAAGGCGCGAGUGCCCUUAGUAAAGAAUAAAGAACAAAGAAUAAAGUAUAAAGAAUAAAUCAUAAAGAAUAAAGCAUAAAGAAUAAAAAAUAAAGAAUAAAAAUUAAAGAAUAAAGAAUGGUUAAUGAUAAAGAAUUGCAUAUUCUAAUGAAAUGCUAAUGGUAAAGAAUGACUAAGA
rnacentral:lncRNA from 1 species